UAGGGAAUAUUGGACAAUGGGUGAGAGCCUGAUCCAGCCAUGCCGCGUGCAGGAAGAAGGCGUUAUGCGUUGUAAACUGCUUUUGCCAGGGGAUAAAAAGACCGUGCGCGGUUAAUUGAAGGUACCUGGUGAAUAAGCCACGGCUAACUACGUGCCAGCAGCCGCGGUAAUACGUAGGGACCAAGCGUUGUUCGGAUUUACUGGGCGUAAAGGGUGCGUAGGCGGCAUAUCAAGUCACUUGUGAAAUCUCCGGGCUUAACUCGGAACUGCCAAAGUGAUACUGAUGUGCUAGAGUGCAGAAAGGGCAACUGGAAUUCUUGGUGUAGCGGUGAAAUGCGUAGAUAUCAAGAGGAACACCUGAGGCGAAGGCGAGUUGCUAGGCUGACACUGACGCUGAGGUACGAAAGCUAGGGGAGCGAACGGGAUUAGAUACCCCCGUAGUCCCUGAGCGGGCUGGCAAGGCGCAU
rnacentral:rRNA from 1 species